rnacentral:lncRNA from 1 species
UCAGCAGGUGUCAGGAGCUCUUUUACCGGAGCCUGAAGGAUUGUUAUAAGGGGACGGCUGAGGACUGAAGAAACACUACAGUGUGGCCCUGGAUCUCUAGCUGGAGUUUGUAGCCUGAGAAACACGAUACAAAAAAGAGACAAGCUACGCUAAGAUGAAGAACAUGACAGGAGGCCCAAGCCCCAAGUUCAGACAAGCAGACCUGCAGUCCUCAGCAGGCAAGUGACUAGGUCUGUGGACAUCGUAGCAACGUCACGAGUCACGUGGAACCUGCCGAAUCAGCCCGCACCCCGACAGCAAUCCACUGGACACCCCGCCCCCGGCUCCUCUGUACAACCACCUGGUUCCACACUACAAAGACACAGAGGACACCGGACCACCAGACCACUGUACUGGGUAAGUUGGAGUCACCUUCACCUCCCAUCAGGACUGGUACUAUCUCCAGGGGAAGGGCAGCUGGAACAUGCAAUACAACUCUGCAGAGCUCAACCCUACAGGAGGACAGGGAGCUCAACUUGGGACUUGCAGCCAGAAAUCUGCCUGAAUCUCGUGGGUCUGCGACUAGCUUGCUGAGACUCCUUGACUUAUAACUGCACACUGCAACCCACAUUGUCUAUUGUGACAGCAGAGACAUACCCUGAAAGAGGCCCUUCAUCUUCAUGGUUAUUUUUUAAUUCCCAAAAUUAGUUUUAUUAUUUUGGUUUUUUUUUCUUUUGCUCCUCUUAUCUUUAAUUUUUUUCCCUACUCUUUGCAAAUAUUUGUUUUUCUCUCCUUUUUAUCUUUUCUUUUCUUCUUUCUUUUCUCUUUCCUUUCUCUCUCUUACACUCACUCUGUUGCUCUCCCACAUUGUUCAUCUUCCCUUUUUGUUCCCGUUUUGGUCCUCAUUUGGAAUUCUUCUUUAUUUUCCUAUUAUUCUCUUUUUCCUUCUCACCUGUGUCCUCUGACCACACUGCUAACCUUCCCCUAUCCUUCUUCCCAUCUGUCCCUCCCUCCCCAACCCCUUCUAACUCCCCAUCCCAAAGGGUAAAGUUGUUAUAUUGAAGAGUUUAUUCACUAUAUGUUGGAUUGGUCCUCGAUCUUGAUUUAAUUCACACAGCUAAAGGUGAUAGAUUAAUAACUACCACAAAACGUCAUUUUCAAAGGUGUACUUGAUGCAAUGGUGUUGCUGAUUGUAACACUUGGGCUAAGGUGUUGGUAUUGAUCUAGUCAAUGAACCUUCCUAGUAUAAGGAAAAUGAGAUAGCUUUAGAGUAAUUACAGACUCAAAACUUAAAGACCAG